rnacentral:lncRNA from 1 species
GGUCUUUCUCGCCAAUGUUUUCUCUUUGGUAAUGGAAUAGAAGAUUCUCCUGAGCUGACUGUGUCUUAUGCACAGAGAACAGAAAAUGCCAGACACUGAUCAUUUCAGAUACCCUAAUUCAACUGUCACUAAAUAAUCUUCAUUCUCUUGGAGGAAAGAAUUCUUCAAAGCCCAGUGUAGACAAUUUCUCCAAUCACUAAAAUAUGAUAUCCUAGUUUACUCUCUUUGCCUUGCAUUGGAUCAAUAAUAAGCCUGGGGAAUUUUGGAUCCUGGAAAAAAAGAUGAUGUUGCAUCUGCCUUCAACUACCUUCAUUUCCGUUACCUUCAUUCCUUGCAAGCUCAAGUCCACAAGGGGGCAGACUAGAGCGCGUGAAGAUAAACAAAGACAGUCACGGCGCAGCGCAGUUCGUGGGGACCAGUCUCUCUCAGGUGAGAAGAGCAGUCCAAUUGUGUGCAUUUUCUGAUCGUGGGAAAGCAAAACUUUCC